GACGAACGCUGGCGGCGUGCCUAAUACAUGCAAGUGGGACGCAAGGAGACACACUGUGCUUGCACACCGUGUUUUCUUGAGUCGCGAACGGGUGAGUAACGCGUAGGUAACCUGCCUAUUAGCGGGGGAUAACUAUUGGAAACGAUAGCUAAUACCGCAUAAUAUUAAUUAUUGCAUGAUAAUUGAUUGAAAGAUGCAAGCGCAUCACUAGUAGAUGGACCUGCGUUGUAUUAGCUAGUUGGUAAGGUAAGAGCUUACCAAGGCGACGAUACAUAGCCGACCUGAGAGGGUGAUCGGCCACACUGGGACUGAGACACGGCCCAGACUCCUACGGGAGGCAGCAGUAGGGAAUCUUCGGCAAUGGACGAAAGUCUGACCGAGCAACGCCGCGUGAGUGAAGAAGGUUUUCGGAUCGUAAAGCUCUGUUGUAAGUCAAGAACGUGUGUGAGAGUGGAAAGUUCACACAGUGACGGUAGCUUACCAGAAAGAGACGGCUAACUACGUG
rnacentral:rRNA from 1 species